CCCUUAGAUGUUCUGGGCCGCACGCGCGCUACACUGGUCGAUGCAAUGAGUUUCUUUCCUUGGCCGACAGGCCUGGGCAAUCUUUGAACAUCGAUCGUGAUCGGGAUAGAUUCUUGUAAUUUUUGAUCUUAAACGAGGAAUUCCUAGUAAACGCAAGUCAUCAGCUUGCAUUGAUUACGUCCCUGCCCUUUGUACACACCGCCCGUCGCACCUACCGAUUGAAUGGUCCGGUGAAAUCUCCGGACUGGCGUGAGUCGGAGCAAUCUGACAAACACCGGAAAGUUGAUUAAACCUUACCAUUUAGAGGAAGGUGAAGUCGUAACA
rnacentral:rRNA from 1 species